GACGUAGGGGGCCAGCGUUGCUCGGAAUUACUGGGCGUAAAGGGUUCGUAGGCGGUGUGGUAAGUCGGAAGUGAAAUCUCUGGGCUUAACCCAGAGGCUGCUUUCGAAACUGCCGUGCUAGAGUGCGGGAGAGGCGAGUGGAAUUACAGGUGUAGCGGUGAAAUGCGUAGAUAUCUGUAGGAACACCCGUGGCGAAGGCGGCUCGCUGGACCGCAACUGACGCUGAGGAACGAAAGCUAGGGGAGCAAACAGG
rnacentral:rRNA from 1 species